rnacentral:rRNA from 1 species
UGGGGAAUUUUGGACAAUGGGCGCAAGCCUGAUCCAGCAAUGCCGCGUGCAGGAUGAAGGCCUUCGGGUUGUAAACUGCUUUUGUACGGAGCGAAAAGGUCUGCCCUAAUACGGUGGGCUCAUGACGGUACCGUAAGAAUAAGCACCGGCUAACUACGUGCCAGCAGCCGCGGUAAUACGUAGGGUGCGAGCGUUAAUCGGAAUUACUGGGCGUAAAGCGUGCGCAGGCGGUUAUAUAAGACAGAUGUGAAAUCCCCGGGCUCAACCUGGGACCUGCAUUUGUGACUGUAUAGCUAGAGUACGGUAGAGGGGGAUGGAAUUCCGCGUGUAGCAGUGAAAUGCGUAGAUAUGCGGAGGAACACCGAUGGCGAAGGCGGCGAUCUGGGUCGAUACUGACGCUGAGGUGCGAAAGCGUGGGGAGCAAACA